rnacentral:rRNA from 1 species
GACAGAGGAUGCAAGCGUUAUCCGGAAUGAUUGGGCGUAAAGCGUCUGUAGGUGGCUUUUUAAGUCCGCCGUCAAAUCCCAGGGCUCAACCCUGGACAGGCGGUGGAAACUACCAAGCUGGAGUACGGUAGGGGCAGAGGGAAUUUCCAGUGGAGCGGUGAAAUGUGUAGAUAUUGGAAAGACCACCAAUGGCGAAGGCACUCUACUGGGCCAUUACUGACACUGAGAGACGAAAGCUAGGGGAGCAAAUGGG